rnacentral:rRNA from 1 species
GACCGAUAGUGAACCAGUACCGUGAGGGAAAGGUGAAAAGCACCCCGGAAGGGGAGUGAAAUAGAACCUGAAACCGUGUGCUUACAAGUAGUCAGAGCCCGUUAAUGGGUGAUGGCGUGCCUUUUGUAGAAUGAACCGGCGAGUUACGAUUUGAUGCAAGGUUAAGCAGUAAAUGUGGAGCCGUAGCGAAAGCGAGUCUGAAUAGGGCGUUUAGUAUUUGGUCGUAGACCCGAAACCAGGUGAUCUACCCUUGGUCAGGUUGAAGUUCAGGUAACACUGAAUGGAGGACCGAACCGACUUACGUUGAAAAGUGAGCGGAUGAACUGAGGGUAGCGGAGAAAUUCCAAUCGAACCUGGAGAUAGCUGGUUCUCUCCGAAAUAGCUUUAGGGCUAGCCUCAAGUGAUGAUUAUUGGAGGUAGAGCACUGUUUGGACGAGGGGCCCCUCUCGGGUUACCGAAUUCAGACAAACUCCGAAUGCCAAUUAAUUUAACUUGGGAGUCAGAACAUGGGUGAUAAGGUCCG